rnacentral:rRNA from 1 species
GACGAACGUGCGAACGUUAUUCGGAAUCACUGGGCUUAAAGCGCGUGGUAGGCGGGGACGGCACGCGGUUCGGCUUGAAACGCCCCCCGGCCCCAACCGGGGAACGGGCGCCGAUACGACCGCCCUGGAGGAACGUAGGGGACCUGGAACUUCCGGAUGGACGCGGUGAAAUGCGUUGAGAUCGGAAGGUAACGCCCGUGG